rnacentral:rRNA from 1 species
AUGGGAGACUUUAGCGAAAUACUUUACUCACAUGAGAAGGAGGAUGGUGACCCAAGGCCAGUUAGGAUGAUGCAACAAUUUGGAGAUGCACUAGUGGAUUGUGAGCUUGUAGACAUGGGAUUUAAAGGCAGCUAGUGUACUUGGAGACGUCGUCGUCUGAGAGAACGACUGGACAUGGUUGUGCGUAAUGGUGGAUUCCAUGGUCUGUUCCCAGGAGCAAUUGUGACAAAUGCACCACAUAUAAAGUCAGACCACAGGCCGGUUGUUUUGGAAACAGAAGGAGAUGGGAAUGAAGACCAGCAGCAUAUAAGGCGUGAGCAGUUCGAGGCACGCUGGCUAAAGGAAGAGGAUGUGAUGACCCGCGUCACAGAAGCCUGGGAGCAAACGCCGAAUACGGCUACCCUUGUUGAACGUACUUCAAUGGUUCAUACGGAGCUUCAUGAAUGA